ACUCACAUGUCAGCUGCAUGCACAGGAAUAUUAAUAAACCUUCAAGGAGCAUGGUCAUCACAAGUCCUUCAGCAAAAAAAUUAUUUCCUAAAAGGAUUUUUGCUUCAAGAAACUCCUCUUAGCUUAGAGUAACACUAUAAAUACCACCGUGAUGUGAAAAUAUCUGUUCUGUGUAUCAGCCAAUCUGAUCUCUAACUGGAGGUUUCUCUGAGUUUUGAGCCAAUCUUGAAGGUUAACUUUGAAUGGAGACACUGCCCCCUUAUGACUAGUCACUAGAUUGCUGUUCCUUCAUGCCACUCUUGGAGAGUUGUAAAAAUAAUCCAAUUUCUCCCAUUCAUUUGAUGAACCCUUAUUGAGUACCCAUUGUCUGCUAGGGAAAUAUAAAGACAUGAACAAGACAGACAGGAACUCUUCACCUGGGCACCUUAUAAUAUCUCCCUGGAAAAUCAGUGAGAGCCAGACAGGAUUAAGCAUGGUGAAUUGAAGACAUAUUUUUUCUCUGUGCCUUUUUCAGAAUCCACUGAAAUAAAAGUAAAUUUUUAAAAAAAAUUAUGAACCCCCAAAGAAUAUAAAGAUGUUAUGUUUAUGUUUAUUAUCCCAUAAGAUGUUUUGGGAACUGAAAGUGAAUGGACAACUGGUAACUGGUUUAGCAGCCUGAAGAAAAGUAAGUCCUAAGGACUCGCAGAGGAAAAUGCCAACAAAAAUCCAGGUGCUCUGAAAGUCUCAAGAACUUGUACCACAGCAGAUCAGGCAAGCUCUAUAUCUAACAUGCAGCUUGAACUCAGAACCCUGAGAUCAGAAGUCAUACGGUCUACCAACUGAGCCAGCCAGUGUGGUGCCAGCACCCUGCCCACGGGAACUGCCUUACACCCUUGCAGAUGGCCUACAUUAUGGUUUAGUGGUAUUGGAAGCAGCAUUUGCCUUCAAACAUCCUUCCUCUCCAACUGUCACUUGAGACUACUGUAUGUUCCUCAAGCUUCUCUUGAAAGAAAAGAAACUCUUCUGCAUCUUCUGGCAAGUGGCCCAUCCACCGCUCAGGAGCCCUGUGUCAGCAGAGCAUCUGCAGCUGCAUGUUUGAGGACAGCCUGCCUAGGCCUGGAGAUCACAGUGUGUCUGCUGCACAGAAGUAGAUGCCUGAGUCGCUGGACUGGGAGGCUGUGAUAUGCAGGGAACUUUGCUGCUUCUUCUCAUUUAACGUGGCAGUGGUUUUUUCAUGACUCUUUUCCCCAUUCUCCCAUAAUAUCAUCAAGGAUAUUAGACCUUCACUAUUUUUUUGCCUGUACCAGUGUAGGGCAUACACAGGCUUUGAUGAAUGGCAGUUUAUGGUGAAAUUUUCUCCUUCUUGGAUGAUCAGAGACUGUGGACUCUGCUCCAGUUCUUGGCUACUGACCCCUGUUCAAAAAGACAAUGUAAAGAAAACGCCAAGCCUAAGAUCUUCAUGCUCAUGGUAGGUAUGGUUUUUCUCACCUGCCUCUUCACUUCCCCCUGAGGCAGCAACAUUAUCCCUUCAACACAGAAUAUUGUAUUGUCUAUCUUUUCAACAUGUAUCUGGCUCUCAAAUGGGCCUCCAUGGGACAGAAGAAGACUGAAUCCCUGCCCUCAGGAAGCUGUCAUCAUCCCCUGACUCUCUACACUAAUCCCAUACUUACAGGCUGCCUGCAACUCUAAUAUCCCUAUGAGAACUUGCAGGAGAGUCUCCAUCUUCUGGUUCCUCAGAAGGCAGCUGGAUCAGGAGUUCUCGAAUGAGCUUCCCCAGCACAGGUUACUUGAGCUCAGCGGGGUCUCACUGGUGCAGGGCACUGCACCAAUCUGAGAGAUCACACCUGGUUUCCUGUUCCUCCAGUGCUGCAGACCUAAACUCAAAUACUUUUUGAACACUGCCACCUUUUGGCUAGACUGAGAAAUACUGAAUAAUGGAAGGCUUCUAGAAUUAGUUUAUAUAAAUGAGGUACAUUUAUUUAUUGCAACAAGUAUGGUAUUUAUUAUCGGAUAUUGAAAAUACCCUACUAUUGCAUGCUUGAAACAGUUUCCUCUUUGUAAUUAAAAUAAAGUGAAAAAUCCUGCUCUCUAAAAUACUGGGUAAUUGUUUUUCAACAUUUAGUUCUGCCUACUUUUGAUUUGAGUCUUAUAAAACACUGCUUUAUUGAGGCAUACUCAAUAUGAUGUAUAAUAAACUGCAUAUAUUUAUGAUGAACAAUUUGAUAAUUUUUGACAUGGACAUACAAAUGUGAAAUCAUGAUCAAAAUCUAGAUAAUGAGCAUAUGCACUAUCUUAGGCCCCUUUGUGGCCUACUCACAGUUUUAGAAUUAUGUGCUCACAUCUAGAUCUAUGAUCUAUCUGGAAUCAAUUUUUUUAUCGGUGUGAGCUAAGGGUUAAGGUUUAUAUUUUUGAAUAUGGCUAUCAACUAUUCAAGCAUGAUUUGU